UAAAUGAGGACAAACCUGUCUCUUAUAACCAAUCAGUGAAACUGAUCUCCCAAUACAAAAGUUGGGAUAAACACAUAAGACGAGAAGACCCCGUGGAGCUUAAAACAAAUCACUAACCAAACGACCAUGGUGCACUGUUUUAAGUUGGGGCGACUUCGGAAUAAAACAAAACUUCCGAGCACAGAACCACCACUUCUAACCAAGGCCAACAAGCCUAAGUUUAACCUGACCCGGCCUCACGCCGAUCAACGAACCAAGUUACCCCGGGGAUAACAGCGCUAUCUUCUUCAAGAGUCCCUAUCAACAAGAAGGUUUACGACCUCGAUGUUGGAUCAGGACACCCAAAUGGUGCAGCCGCUAUUAAUGGUUCGUUUGUUCAACGAUUAACAGUCCU
rnacentral:rRNA from 1 species